GGGGGUAGCAUAAUGUGGCCUAAUGCAACUCACUGUAACAGUGAGUAUAUGGGUUCGAUUCCCAUCCCCCCCA
rnacentral:tRNA from 1 species